AAAAAGACAAACCAUAGUUUCUGUGUCCAACUUUGAAUGUCUGUCUUAUAUAAAUUUUUUUAUAAUUCGUAUUUUCAUUGUUGCUAGAUGAUAAAACAUGAUUAAUAUUUUAUGCGUGACUUGUCUUUUUAAUUGUUUUCAUAAUUUUUUUAAAUAAGACGGACGGUCAAACGUUGGACACGGAAAUUAGAGUUUAACUUUUU
rfam:Oryza sativa (indica cultivar-group) chromosome 9, whole genome shotgun sequence.